AGCUCGGCCAGAGUCCAGUUCAACACAACCUGAGUUAGAGUGGCGCUCCUGAUCUCAGACAGGGGCUUCUGUGGAGGGGGAAGACAAACGGGGUUAGAGAGAGAGAUAGGUUUAUCUGUGGAGGUGGAAGACAGGCGGGGUUAGAGAGAGAGACAGGUUUAUCUGUGGAGGGAGAAGACAGACGGGGUUAGAGAGAGAGACAGGUUUAUCUGUGGAGGGGCAGAGAGACAGGUUUAUCUGUGGAGGGGGAAGACAGACGGGGUUAGAGAGAGAGACAGGUUUAUCUGUGGAGGGGGAAGACAGACGGGGUUAGAGAGAGAGACAGGUUUAUCUGUGGAGGGGGAAGACAGAUGGGGUUAGAGAGAGAGACAGGUUUAUCUGUGGAGGGGGAAGACAGAUGGGGUUAGAGAGAGAGACAGGUUUAUCUGUGGAGGGGGAAGACAG
ensembl:lncRNA